UUUAUAGGGACAAUGUUUUAUGUUUUAAAAGGAACUUUGUUUAUGCUUUAAAAGGACAAAGUUUUAAAAGGGCUAGUGUUUUAUGUUUUAAAAUGGACAGUGUUUAUGCUUUAAAAGGACAAAGUUUUAAAAAUGCUAGUGCUUUAUGUUUUAAAAGGGACACUGUUUAUGUUUUUUAAAAAAUGCUAGUGUUUUAUGUUUAAAAAGGGACAGUGUUUCAAAAGGGCUAGUGUUUUAUGUUUUAAAAGGGACAGUCUUUUAAAAGGGUUAGUGUUUCAAUAGUAUGUUUUAAAAGGACACAAUUUUAAAAGGGCUAGUGUUUUAUGCUUUUAACGGGACGGUGUUUUAUGUUUUAAAAGUGCUAGUAUUUAAUGUUUUAAAAGUGAAGGCGUUUUAUGUUUUAAGGGAAAGUGUUUCAUGUUUUAAAAGGGAAAGUGCGUAACGCUUUGAAAGGAUCAGUGUUUUAUGUUUUAAAGGUGUAGGCGUUUUAUGUUUUAAAUGGCACAGAGUGUUUCCUGUUUUAAAAGUGCUAAUAUUUAAUGUUUUAAAAGUGAAGGCGUUUUAUGUUUUAAGGGAACGUGUUUCAUGUUUUAAAAGGGAAAGUGCGUAACGUUUUGAAAGGAUCAGUGUUUUAUGUUUUAAAGGUGUAGGCGUUUUAUGUUUUAAAUGGCACAGAGUUUCCUGUUUUAAAAGGGAAAGUGUUAAACGUUUUGAAAGGCACCAGGCAAAAUCGAAAUUCAGUAUGCUUGGAGCAGAAAAAAACAACAACAAAAAAUACAACAACCGAGGACACACUUCAACAUGAUGUUUUAUUACAGAGAAGUAGAAUGUAACAGUUGGGACGCCUUGUGAAGCAGCGUAUGGGGAACACCUGUUCGUUAUAGAAGUUCGAUUAUACGAAGAACCACGUCAUUGAUCACUGGCAACAGACUGGAAGCGGAAACAGUUUAAAGUGCGUCAUCACAGUUCCCGCCAUCUGGAAUGAUACAGUUUUACACGUUAUGAAACGUGCAGCAGAAAAGUUAAACAUUUUUUUUAUACUCAUUAUAGUAUCAAAACAGAAGAAGUUGUAACAUUUUCGUCUGAUAAGAAAGACCCUCUUCACACUAUCGAAACGUGAAUGCACUGGAAGCCUGGUAGUGGAAUUUUUAGGACCGAGAAGCCGGAUCAUUUGAGGUUGCGAUGAGGUUUGGAGAACAGAACUGAAGGUCAAGGCUAUAAUUGAGAAUCUUGAAAACAUCUACAACAUGUCUGAGAUUACAGUAAACUACAACAAGUUGACGUAUUUGCAUAAUUUGGUUUGUUAGUUUGAGCAUAUAAGAAAUGUGGGUAUGCAGAAGUGUUUGCAGAGUUUAUUUUCUACAAUAGUUAUUGGUGAUACGUUUGACUUUUGUGAAGUAUAAGUAUACUGUUUAUCUAUAUCACAUGAUAAAAAUAAUGUCUAUACCAAAAUAAAUUUAUGAAUAAUAUGGGAUAA